rnacentral:rRNA from 1 species
CCACGCUGCCAAGAAAAGCGUCUAGAGAGAGAAGUAGUGCCCGUACCGCAAACCGACACAGGUAGGUGAGGAGAGAAUCCUAAGGCCGGCGGAAGAAUUACAGUUAAGGAACUCGGCAAAUUGACCCCGUAAGUUCGCGAGAAGGGGUGCCUACGAGAGUAGGCCGCAGAGAAUAGGCCCAAGCAACUGUUUAGCAAAAACACAGGUCUCUGCUAAAGCGCAAGCUGAUGUAUAGGGGCUGACGCCUGCCCGGUGCUGGAAGGUUAAGGGGAACACUUAGCGCAAGCGAAGGUGUGAACUUAAGCCCCAGUAAACGGCGGCCGUAACUAUAACGGUCCUAAGGUAGCGAAAUUCCUUGUCAGGUAAGUUCUGACCCGCACGAAUGGCGUAAUGACUUGGGCACUGUCUCAACUGUAAAUCCGGCGAAGUUGUAGUGCGAGUGAAGAUGCUCGCUACCCGCGAUUGGACGGAAAGACCCCGUAGAGCUUUACUGUAGCUUAGCAUUGAGUUUUGGUAUUGUCUGUACAGGAUAGGUGGGAGGCUAGGAAACUAGGGCGUCAGCCUUAGUGGAGCCAUCCUUGGGAUACCACCCUGACAGUACUGAAAUUCUAACUGGCGGCCAUGAAUCUGGUCACAGGACAUUGUUAGGUGGGCAGUUUGACUGGGGCGGUCGCCUCCUAAAAAGUAACGGAGGCGCCCAAAGGUUCCCUCAGAACGGUCGGAAAUCGUUCGUAGAGUGCAAAGGCAGAAGGGAGCCUGACUGCGACACCCACAAGUGGAGCAGGGACGAAAGUCGGGCUUAGUGAUCCGGUGGUACCUCGUGGGAGGGCCAUCGCUCAACGGAUAAAAGCUACCUCGGGGAUAACAGGCUGAUCUCCCCCAAGAGUCCACAUCGACGGGGAGGUUUGGCACCUCGAUGUCGGCUCGUCGCAUCCUGGGGCUGAAGUAGGUCCCAAGGGUUGGGCUGUUCGCCCAUUAAAGCGGCACGCGAGCUGGGUUCAGAACGUCGUGAGACAGUUCGGUCCCUAUCCGUCGCGGGCGUAGGAAAUUUGAGAGGAGCUGUCCUUAGUACGAGAGGACCGGGAUGGACUGACCUCUGGUGUACCAGUUGUUCCGCCAGGAGCACAGCUGGGUAGCUAAGUCGGGAAUGGAUAAACGCUGAAAGCAUCUAAGCGUGAAGCCAACCUCAAGAUGAGAUUUCCCAUAGCGUAAGCUAGUAAGAUCCCUUGAAGAACACAAGGUUGAUAGGUCGGGGGUGUAAGCAUGGUAACAUGUUCAGCUGACCGAUACUAAUAGAUCG